rnacentral:rRNA from 1 species
GACGAACGCUGGCGGCGUGCUUAACACAUGCAAGUCGAACGAUGAAGCCGGAGCUUGCUCUGGUGAAUUAGUGGCGAACGGGUGAGUAACACGUGAGUAACCUGCCCUUGACUCUGGGAUAACUGCGGGAAACUGUAGCUAAUACCGGAUACGACCCUCGGAGGCAUCUCAUGGGGGUGGAAAGAAUUUCGGUCAAGGAUGGACUCGCGGCCUAUCAGCUAGUUGGUGAGGUAAAGGCUCACCAAGGCGAAGACGGGUAGCCGGCCUGAGAGGGUGACCGGCCACACUGGGACUGAGACUCGGCCCAGACUCCUACGGGAGGCAGUAGUGGGGAAUAUUGCACAACGGGCGCAAGCCUGAUGCAGCAACGCCGCGUGAGGGAUGACGGCCUUCGGGUUGUAAACCUCUUUUAGUAGGGAAGAAGCGAAAGUGACGGUACCUGCAGAAAAAGCACCGGCUAACUACGUGCCAGCCGCCGCCGUAA